CUUAUAUGUUAGUUGAUGCCCAGGUAGCUCAGUGGUAGGGCUCCUGUAUGUGGUGAGCGAAAAUGUCUACAAUAACUGUCGGGAGGUCGCAGGUUCGAAUCCUGCCCAGUGGCUA